rnacentral:Y_RNA from 1 species
GGCUGGUCCGAAGGUAGUGAGUUAUCUCACUUGAUUCUUCACAGUCAGUUAGUUACAGAUUGAACUCCUUGUUCUACUACUUUUCCCCCUCCUCACUACUGCACUUGACUAGUCUAAA